UUUAAAAACCUUUCGCCAGGCCUGGCACUGGAGUUCUCCGGGCGAUCCGAUAUUUGGUACCAUUAGACGGAAUGAACGCUUCGCCGGGCUAAGCCUCGCCAGCGCUGAGGACGAAAUAGUAAUGGAACUUGCCGCCGAACGAAAGUCCAGGCGGAGGCAAGAUCUACAGUACCAGGUCUCCUCAUUUCCGACAUAUUUUCGCAGAUGCUGGCGCACUCACGUCACCAGGCUGUUCGAGGGUAGGUUCAGCGGGGCCGAUGGGGUCAGUCGCUCUUCCAACCUCCGUGUAGUAACAGCUAGCUGGCAGUCGCUCCCAGUUUCUCUCUCUCACACACACACACACACACACACACACACACAUGUAAGCUAGUAAUAAGAAUGGAGUAGAGGGUAUCUACUCAUAGCCAUUGACAAGGCACAUUAUAAGAAUUACAUGUAGAAAAAAUAUGAAGUAGCGAGAUAUACAAAAUAUUAUAGCUGUUAUGCGUACAUUUGCGUUUGUGAGUAAACACACACCACACACACAAUACUACUACUACUAAUAAUAAUGACAGCAUCAACAUCUGGGGGCAAAUAUGGGGUAUUCUUGAGAGAGAGAGAGAGAGAGAGAGAGAGAGAGAGAGAGAGAGAGAGAGAGAGAGAGAGAGAGAGAGAGAGAGAGAGAGAGAGAGAGAACGGCAGCGCAAUGAGAGAACGGGGAAUAUAGAAUAGUUCCCCGUCUUCCUCACUGUCUCACAGCCAGCUGACGUCACAGGCUGCGCAGUGGAGGUAAAGUGAGGAGACCUGUUACUAUAGAUCUUGGGCGGAGGCUUCCUUUCCCGCUGGCGAAAGGCAUAAAUUUGAAUUGUUUUACUAUGUCUGCAGUAGCAUGAGAAGUUGAACGAAUUAGAAAAGACACACUAAUUUAUUUUUGCAAUAACUCAAGCAAGUUCUAUAAAUAUCGAUGUAUUUACAUCUUUUUUCAAGACUAUGUAUAGUAUCGCUCCAUGAGGAUUCAAGACGCCUGCCUCCUCCGGUAAGUGCACUCUGUAUUAUCGUUCACAUAAUUAGGUUAAUUUCCAUUUUUGUUUGAAUGUUUUGAUGAAUGCAGCGGUACUGUCAGGUGCAUCAAAGGUGUCUCACGCCCGCAGGUGAGCCAUAAUGAGCUGUGCCAAGGCCACAUUCUUGAGUCCUGCCCGGGCUAGUCAUAUUACUGAUUUUAUGCAGGAUGAGUUAAUAAAUUGUUAUUUUCAUCAUAAUUUCAUAAUGAAAUUUACAAAAUGAGUAUUCAGAAUCAUUCGUCAGUUGUGUAUUUAUAAAUUAUUGAUGGAUUUAAUAGGCAAAAUGUAACAAAAGCUGAUGAAGGUAUUUCCUGUUUCCUGUAUUUUCAGGUAUUGACAUAAGAGUGCAAGCAAGUAUAAAGGCUGUAGUCACUGUCUAGUGGGGUCACUCCCUCCUAAACCUAGAUCAAGAGCAAGACCCAGAUGAUGGCAGCCUUACAAGUUUUUGAGGAGCUUGAUGUCCUCGAGGAUGCUGCAGGGGAAAGGGUCAGACUGCCGAGAAGGAUUGUGAAGGAUCGCUUGGACUUAUUCCUAACUUUGACUGAAGAGGAAUUUACAUCCAGGUUCAGGAUAUCAAAGCAAAGCGCAAGGGCCUUACUUGCUGACUUACAUUUACCAGAGGCAGCUGAUGCAAGAGGAUGUCCUGUACCACCUCACCUUCAACUCCUCAUCACCUUAAGAUGGAUGGCCACUGGUGACCUGCACCAAACUAUUGGAGAUUGCCUGGAUGUCUCUCAGCAGUUUGUAAGUUCAUGCUCUUCACAUACUGUGCGUGCCAUUGCUGCUUUAUAUCAGCGGUAUGUAAAGUUUCCUGGAAGGCAUGAGUUAGGGUCCAUCAAGACAAACUUUGAAGCAAUCUCUGGAUUCCCAGGUGUCAUUGGUGCAAUAGACUGCACACACAUCCCCAUUCUCAGUCCAGGUGGUCAGCAAGCAGAAACUUACCGAAGCAGAAAGGGCUUCUUUUCAUUAAAUGUACAAGCAGUGUGUGGUCCAGACUUAACAUUUUAUAAUAUUAUUUGUCGAUGGCCAGGAUCAGUCCACGACAGCAGAAUAUUUGCUAAUAGUUCUCUGUAUGCUCAGUUGCAAGCUGGCGAUUACAAUGGCCAUUUGUUAGGGGACUCAGCCUACCCUCUUCGUCCCUUUCUUAUGACUCCUGUUGGGAAUCCAU